ACUAAAUUUCUGACUCAGUCGGUGACUAAUCGAGAGAAAAAUAGUGAUAAAAAGGAGAGUGGGUCCCCAUGAAAAUUGAACUGUAACUUCUUCGGGUCUUCUGAUAAUCUCCCAACACUACAGCUUCAACUAAACGCCCCAAGUUGUUUCCCUGUUGAGCAGCAUAUGUGGGCGGCGCGUGGGCCUUACAUUCCACUCGGUCACGUGACGGCGGCGACUGUUUAGUGUUUAGCUUAUUAGGCUGUGUUCCGUCCCAAUCUUGAUCUGUCAUUUGACUUCAUGCAAAAUCUCAGUCCUUGGGGCCCAUUUGGCUUAUCCCCAUCAUCGCAAUUCACAAUCACAUUGAUGAAGCGAUAUGAUGACUGAUGAUGCCCGCACUAAUCCUGUUUCUUUAAGAUUUUGAACAUCCAACGGCUCUUAUGGCCCCACCUGUCCUUCUGUCCUUGCCACCACGUGUUACCUUAGGGUAGCUUGCAAGCUUACGGGGGGGCAGUUCGCAAUUUCUCUCCCAUAGGAGAAUGCUAGGGAAAUUUGAAGGAAAUAGGGGUCUGCCUUCCGUGCAACAGUUACACGGUACCACUUAAUUUUGUCUUUUUCCAACAAUUACACUACACUACCCUAUAUUUAUAAGAAAACUGAAUAGAUACUAUAAGUUACAAAUUUUUAUAUAUAAGU
rnacentral:lncRNA from 1 species